CUACGGGGGGCAGCAGUGAGGAAUAUUGCACAAUGGGGGGAACCCUGAUGCAGCAACGCCGCGUGGAGGAUGACGCAUUUCGGUGUGUAAACUCCUUUUAUAUGUCGAGAAAAUGACGGUAGCAUAUGAAUAAGCACCGGCUAACUCCGUGCCAGCAGCCGCGGUAAUACGGAGGGUGCAAGCGUUACUCGGAAUCACUGGGCGUAAAGGACGCGUAGGCGGGCUUGUAAGUCAGGUGUGAAAUCCUACAGCUUAACUGUAGAACUGCACUUGAAACUACGAGCCUAGAGUAUGGGAGGGGGAGAUGGAAUUAGUGGUGUAGGGGUAAAAUCCGUAGAUAUCACUAGGAAUACCUAAAGCGAAGGCGAUCUCCUGGAACAUAACUGACGCUAAGGCGUGAAAGCGUGGGGAGCAAACAGGAUUAGAUACCCUCGUAGUC
rnacentral:rRNA from 1 species